GUGGGGAAUAUUGGACAAUGGGCGCAAGCCUGAUCCAGCCAUGCCGCGUGAGUGAUGAAGGCCUUAGGGUUGUAAAGCUCUUUUGUCCGGGAAGAUAAUGACUGUACCGGAAGAAUAAGCCCCGGCUAACUUCGUGCCAGCAGCCGCGGUAAUACGAAGGGGGCUAGCGUUGCUCGGAAUCACUGGGCGUAAAGGGCGCGUAGGCGGACUUUUAAGUCGGAGGUGAAAGCCCAGGGCUCAACCCUGGAAUUGCCUUCGAUACUGGGAGUCUUGAGUUCGGAAGAGGUUGGUGGAACUGCGAGUGUAGAGGUGAAAUUCGUAGAUAUUCGCAAGAACACCGGUGGCGAAGGCGGCCAACUGGUCCGAAACUGACGCUGAGGCGCGAAAGCGUGGGGAGCAAACAGGAUUAGAAACCCUAGUAGUCC
rnacentral:rRNA from 1 species